AGGGAAUCUUCCACAAUGGACGAAAGUCUGAUGGAGCAACGCCGCGUGAGUGAUGAAGGGUUUCGGCUCGUAAAACUCUGUUGUUGGAGAAGAACAGGUGUGAGAGUAACUGUUCACAUCUUGACGGUAUCCAACCAGAAAGCCACGGCUAACUACGUGCCAGCAGCCGCGGUAAUACGUAGGUGGCAAGCGUUGUCCGGAUUUAUUGGGCGUAAAGCGAGCGCAGGCGGUUUUUUAGGUCUGAUGUGAAAGCCUUCGGCUUAACCGGAGAAGUGCAUCGGAAACCGGGAGACUUGAGUGCAGAAGAGGACAGUGGAACUCCAUGUGUAGCGGUGAAAUGCGUAGAUAUAUGGAAGAACACCAGUGGCGAAGGCGGCUGUCUGGUCUGUAACUGACGCUGAGGCUCGAAAGCAUGGGUAGCGAAC
rnacentral:rRNA from 1 species